rnacentral:rRNA from 1 species
ACGAACGCUGGCGGCGUGCUUAACACAUGCAAGUCGAACGGAAAGGCCCUGCUUUUGUGGGGUGCUCGAGUGGCGAACGGGUGAGUAACACGUGAGUAACCUGCCCUUGACUUUGGGAUAACUUCAGGAAACUGGGGCUAAUACCGUAUAGGAGCUCCUGCUGCAUGGUGGGGGUUGGAAAGUUUCGGCGGUUGGGGAUGGACUCGCGGCUUAUCAGCUUGUUGGUGGGGUAGUGGCUUACCAAGGCUUUGACGGGUAGCCGGCCUGAGAGGGUGACCGGCCACAUUGGGACUGAGAUACGGCCCAGACUCCUACGGGAGGCAGCAGUGGGGAAUAUUGCACAAUGGGCGGAAGCCUGAUGCAGCAACGCAGCGUGCGGGAUGACGGCCUUCGGGUUGUAAACCGCUUUCGCCUGUGACGAAGCGUGAGUGACGGUAAUGGGUAAAGAAGCACCGGCUAACUACGUG